UAUAAAGGUGGGCCAUGGGGAAAGCCAAGGCAAUAGUCUUUAUCCUUCCCAAAGAGGACAACAGCUGUGGCAUUUAUCACUGGGUGGUCUCUUUCCACACAGAGGAGAAUUAGGAGACAGAAGGAGGUGGCCAUCCUGCUGUUGUGGAAUGAUGAGAAGGCAGGUUUGCUUGCUGAGUAGAAUUGCAGUUUGAACAUUGCUGAUAUCCAUGCUACUGCCACCACAAGAAUCUUAGGAUAUUUUUGAUGCAAGGCACCAAUGAGGAAGAACUGCUUUUCCACAAAAUAUGCAACCAAGCAAUCUUGAAAAGUAGAUGCAAAUGGAUAAGAUGUUUGUCGGAACAAUUUGUAAGAAGGAAAGAGGAAAUAUGAAUAGAACUGGAACAAAUUCUACAAAAAUGAGAUAUUCUGAGGAAGAAUAGGAGAACUGGAACAAAUUCUACAAAAAUGAGGAGAUAUUCUGGGGAAGAAUUGCUUAAUAAAACCAGAAGCAUUCAGAAAGCU